UACGUGGGGGGCAAGCGUUGUUCGGAAUUACUGGGCGUAAAGGGCUCGUAGGUGGCCAACUAAGUCAGACGUGAAAUCCCUCGGCUUAACCGGGGAACUGCGUCUGAUACUGGAUGGCUUGAGUUCGGGAGAGGGAUGCGGAAUUCCAGGUGUAGCGGUGAAAUGCGUAGAUAUCUGGAGGAACACCGGUGGCGAAGGCGGCAUCCUGGACCGACACUGACGCUGAGGAGCGAAAGCCAGGGGAGCAAACGGG
rnacentral:rRNA from 1 species